rnacentral:rRNA from 1 species
CUAAUACAUGCAAGUCGAGCGGACCGACGGGAGCUUGCUCCCUUAGGUCAGCGGCGGACGGGUGAGUAACACGUGGGUAACCUGCCUGUAAGACUGGGAUAACUCCGGGAAACCGGGGCUAAUACCGGAUGCUUGAUUGAACCGCAUGGUUCAAUCAUAAAAGGUGGCUUUCAGCUACCACUUACAGAUGGACCCGCGGCGCAUUAGCUAGUUGGUGAGGUAACGGCUCACCAAGGCGACGAUGCGUAGCCGACCUGAGAGGGUGAUCGGCCACACUGGGACUGAGACACGGCCCAGACUCCUGCGGGAGGCAGCAGUAGGGAAUCUUCCGCAAUGGACGAAAGUCUGACGGAGCAACGCCGCGUGAGUGAUGAAGGUUUUCGGAUCGUAAAACUCUGUUGUUAGGGAAGAACAAGUACCGUUCGAAUAGGGCGGCACCUUGACGGUACCUAACCAGAAAGCCACGGCUAACUACGUGCCAGCAGCCGCGGUAAUACGUAGGUGGCAAGCGUUGUCCGGAAUUAUUGGGCGUAAAGCGCGCGCAGGCGGUUUCUUAAGUCUGAUGUGAAAGCCCCCGGCUCAACCGGGGAGGGUCAUUGGAAACUGGGGAACUUGAGUGCAGAAGAGGAGAGUGGAAUUCCACGUGUAGCGGUGAAAUGCGUAGAGACGUGGAGGAACACCAGUGGCGAAGGCGACUCUCUGGUCUGUAACUGACGCUG